AUUGAACGCUGGCGGCAGGCCUAACACAUGCAAGUCGAGCGGAUGAAGGGAGCUUGCUCCUGGAUUCAGCGGCGGACGGGUGAGUAAUGCCUAGGAAUCUGCCUGGUAGUGGGGGAUAACGUCCGGAAACGGGCGCUAAUACCGCAUACGUCCUGAGGGAGAAAGUGGGGGAUCUUCGGACCUCACGCUAUCAGAUGAGCCUAGGUCGGAUUAGCUAGUUGGUGGGGUAGAGGCCUACCAAGGCGACGAUCCGUAACUGGUCUGAGAGGAUGAUCAGUCACACUGGAACUGAGACACGGUCCAGACUCCUACGGGAGGCAGCAGUGGGGAAUAUUGGACGAUGGGCGAAAGCCUGAUCCAGCCAUGCCGCGUGUGUGAAGAAGGUCUUCGGAUUGUAAAGCACUUUAAGUUGGGAGGAAGGGCAGUAAGUUAAUACCUUGCUGUUUUGACGUUACCAACAGAAUAAGCACCGGCUAACUUCGUG
rnacentral:rRNA from 1 species